rnacentral:rRNA from 1 species
GGAGCCUGAGAAACGGCUACCACAUCCAAGGAAGGCAGCAGGCGCGCAAAUUACCCAAUCCCAAUACGGGGAGGUAGUGACAAGAAAUAACAAUACAGAACUCUUAGAGUUUUGUAAUUGGAAUGAGUACAAUUUAAAUCCCUUAACGAGAACCAAUUGGAGGGCAAGUCUGGUGCCAGCAGCCGCGGUAAUUCCAGCUCCAAUAGCGUAUANNNAAGUUGUUGCAGUUAAAAAGCUCGUAGUUGAAUUUCGGGGUUAGUAGGUUGGUCAUGCCUCUGGUAUGUACUGGUCUCACUGAUUCCUCCUUCCUUAUGAAUCGUAAUGCCAUUAAUUUGGUGUUGCGGGGAAUUUGGACUGUUACUUUGAAAAAAUUAGAGUGUUUAAAGCAAGCUAACGCUUGAAUACAUUAGCAUGGAAUAAUGAAAUAGGACGUUCGAUCUUAUUUUGUUGGUUUCUAGGAUUGACGUAAUGAUUAAUAGGGAUAGUUGGGGGCAUUAGUAUUCAAUUGUCAGAGGUGAAAUUCUUGGAUUUAUUGAAGACUAACUACUGCGAAAGCAUUUGCCGAGGAUGUUUUCAUUAAUCAAGAACGAAAGUUAGGGGAUCGAAGNNNAUCAGAUACCGCCGUAGUCUUAACCAUAAACUAUGCCGACUAGGGAUCGGAUGAUGUUAAUUUUUUAAUGACUCNUUCGGCGCCUUACG